CGGACCCUACGGGACGCAGCAGUGGGGAAUAAUGCACAAUGGGGGAAACCCUGAUGCAGCGACGCCGCGUGAAGGAAGAAGUAUUUCGGUAUGUAAACUUCUAUCAGCAGGGAAGAAAAUGACGGUACCUGACUAAGAAGCCCCGGCUAACUACGUGCCAGCAGCCGCGGUAAUACGUAGGGGGCAAGCGUUAUCCGGAUUUACUGGGUGUAAAGGGAGCGUAGGCGGUAAUGCAAGUCAGAAGUGAAAGCCCGGGGCUCAACUCCGGGACUGCUUUUGAAACUGGGU
rnacentral:rRNA from 1 species